GAGAGUUCCUCCAUGACGAGGAGAAGCAUCAAUUGGUCAUGAUCAUGCCGACGCCAAGCUCUGCAACAAGGUCGUGCUUUUUCAGGGAUCAUCUCGUCUCACCCCGUCAAUGGCUGCUCUCUCGUUACGACAGAAUCCUUGAGCUCGUGCGGUUUAACGCCGGACAACAGGCACUUGCUUUACUCGGCACUGGCCACGUCUUCGAGAGCUCCACCGCUAGAAGCUU
rnacentral:lncRNA from 1 species